rnacentral:rRNA from 1 species
AUUGAACGCUGGCGGCAGGCUUAACACAUGCAAGUCGAGCGGAAACGAUGGGAGCUUGCUCCCAGGCGUCGAGCGGCGGACGGGUGAGUAACACUUAGGAAUCUACCUAGUAGCGGGGGAUAGCUCGGGGAAACUCGAAUUAAUACCGCAUACGACCUACGGGAGAAAGGGGGCAGUUUACUGCUCUCGCUAUUAGAUGAGCCUAAGUCGGAUUAGCUAGAUGGUGGGGUAAAGGCCUACCAUGGCGACGAUCUGUAGCUGGUCUGAGAGGAUGAUCAGCCACACCGGGACUGAGACACGGCCCGGACUCCUACGGGAGGCAGCAGUGGGGAAUAUUGGACAAUGGGGGCAACCCUGAUCCAGCCAUGCCGCGUGUGUGAAGAAGGCCUUUUGGUUGUAAAGCACUUUAAGCAGUGAAGAAGACCAUAUGGUUAAUACCCAUAUGCGAUGACAUUAGCUGCAGAAUAAGCACCGGCUAACUCUGUGCCAGCAGCCGCGGUAAUACAGAGGGUGCAAGCGUUAAUCGGAAUUACUGGGCGUAAAGCGAGCGUAGGUGGCUUGAUAAGUCAGAUGUGAAAUCCCCGGGCUUAACCUGGGAACUGCAUCUGAUACUGUUAAGCUAGAGUAGGUGAGAGGGAAGUAGAAUUCCAGGUGUAGCGGUGAAAUGCGUAGAGAUCUGGAGGAAUACCGAUGGCGAAGGCAGCUUCCUGGCAUCAUACUGACACUGAGGCUCGAAAGCGUGGGUAGCAAACAGG